rnacentral:rRNA from 1 species
UGGGGAAUUUUGGACAAUGGGCGCAAGCCUGAUCCAGCAAUGCCGCGUGCAGGAUGAAGGCCUUCGGGUUGUAAACUGCUUUUGUACGGAGCGAAAAGGUCUGCCCUAAUACGGUGGGCUCAUGACGGUACCGUAAGAAUAAGCACCGGCUAACUACGUGCCAGCAGCCGCGGUAAUACGUAGGGUGCGAGCGUUAAUCGGAAUUACUGGGCGUAAAGCGUGCGCAGGCGGUUAUAUAAGACAGAGGUGAAAUCCCCGGGCUCAACCUGGGAACUGCCUUUGUGACUGCAUAGCUAGAGUACGGUAGGGGGGGAUGGAAUUCCGCGUGUAGCAGUGAAAUGCGUAGAUAUGCGGAGGAACACCGAUGGCGAAGGCAAUCCCCUGGACCUGUACUGACGCUCAUGCACGAAAGCGUGGGGAGCAAACA